rnacentral:rRNA from 1 species
GCGGGAUUCAGCAGCCGCGGUAAUACGUAGGGUGCAAGCGUUAAUCGGAAUUACUGGGCGUAAAGCGUGCGCAGGCGGUUUUGUAAGUCUGACGUGAAAUCCCCGGGCUUAACCUGGGAAUUGCGUUGGAGACUGCAAGGCUGGAGUCUGGCAGAGGGGGGUAGAAUUCCACGUGUAGCAGUGAAAUGCGUAGAGAUGUGGAGGAACACCGAUGGCGAAGGCAGCCCCCUGGGUCAAGACUGACGCUCAUGCACGAAAGCGUGGGGAGCAAACAGGAUUAGAUACCCUGGUAGUCCACGCCCUAAACGAUGUCUACUAGUUGUCGGGUCUUAAUUGACUUGGUAACGCAGCUAACGCGUGAAGUAGACCGCCUGGGGAGUACGGUCGCAAGAUUAAAACUCAAAGGAAUUGACGG